rnacentral:sRNA from 19 species
UUUUAGACCCGAUAGAAGCGACAUCCUUUAUUGCUUUUUUUAAUGCAAUAAAGAUAUAGCGCAUAGCGGGACCACUA